rnacentral:rRNA from 1 species
UACGUAGGGGGCAAGCGUUAUCGGGAUUUACUGGGCGUAAAGGGAGCGUAGACGGCGAUGCAAGCCAGAUGUGAAAGCCCGGGGCUCAACCCCGGGACUGCAUUUGGAACUGUAUAGCUAGAGUGUCGGAGAGGCAGGCGGAAUUCCUAGUGUAGCGGUGAAAUGCGUAGAUAUUAGGAGGAACACCAGUGGCGAAGGCGGCCUGCUGGACGAUGACUGACGUUGAGGCUCGAAAGCGUGGGGAGCAAACAGG